UGACUUCUUGUUUCCCUUUCACUUCUUUUA
rnacentral:piRNA from 1 species